rnacentral:rRNA from 1 species
UACGAAGGGUGCAAGCGUUACUCGGAAUUACUGGGCGUAAAGCGUGCGUAGGUGGUUUGUUAAGUCUGUUGUGAAAGCCCCGGGCUCAACCUGGGAAUGGCAAUGGAUACUGGCAGGCUAGAGUGCGGUAGAGGGUAGUGGAAGUUCCCGGUGUAGCGGUGAAAUGCGUAGAGAUCGGGAGGAACACCAGUGGCGAAGGCGGCUACCUGGACCAGCACUGACACUGAGGCACGAAAGCGUGGGGAGCAAACAGG